rnacentral:lncRNA from 1 species
CAGAUUCUGUAUUUUAAAAUACCGAAACAAAUGAUGAAGCCUAGAAAAAGCUCUUCACCUUCUCAAGGACAGUAUGGAUAAGAGCAUAUGAUGGGAAUGUUUUUUUACUGGGGGAGGAGGGUUCGAAGCCUUUAGGUUUGGAACUCAGGGAAUAAAUAUCGGCAAUGUUUGAUCUGCUGGGCGGACAGGCACGAGAAUGAUCCGCAGGUGUUCCUCUGAACACCCUCCCAGGCUGGCUGGGGACCCACCCCCUCUCCGGUCCCUUCUUCAUCUCUCCUCCCCGCACAGUUGGAGUUCUGAGGGCACAGACACUUCGCUCUGAGGAAGACCGAUUGGGUUUGUGACCCGGACUCGUUUGUGGAUUUGGCCAGGGAGACCACUGGGCACGAGGUCGAACUUCCUGGGAGUGGCAAGGGCCUUGGAAGGACUGAGUGCCUGAAAGUGGGGAUGAUCCUGGGUCAGAGGGACAGGCCUCCCUGGCCGAGGUGGAGAUGCCCGGGAAAAGCUGAAGCUGACUCAUCCGGAGUGAGGGGACAUCUGGGAGGAGGUCGGGGCCACCCCUGAAAAGGGAGGAGGGACCUCAGCCAGAGGGGGUGAGAGUGGACCUCACAGGAGGAAGCAUCUCUGAACAUCACAGGACAUGCGCAGAUAUGCACAAAUGCUCCCAUGGGCCUAGUCACGUGCUCAAGUCAAAGGCAACAGGAAGUCCUGAUACGUGGCCUCCCAACCCUGGAUGCUAAUGAUUUGUGUGAUAAGCGGGCUAGAGUUGUGCCAACAGCCUAGAGUCACUUGGUCUGCAUGUACAAAUCUCUCUUGGUGCUCAUACCUUAUUUUAGAGCACAUAUUUGAUCAUAUGUUUGAGACCAGAGUUGGGGCCAAUAAUAAAAAAGUGGGAAAAAAAUAAACUUUGCCUUUUGAAAAAGGCUGUCAUGACCCACAAGUACUUUUUUUUUUUGCUUGAGCGAUAAACAACAUGAUAGAUGUAAACAGUUAACUUGUUCUAUAAACAGCAGGGAUGGUCUCAGGUGUGGGGAGAGAGAGGAAUUAAAAGCUGGCUAUUUAGUGGAAAAGAUUUAAGAGACCUACCUAAUCACUAGUCUCAUGGAUGAAGACAUGAAGUCCCAGUGUGGUCCAAUGAUUUAUUUUUUUCCAGAUAAAACAGCCAGAGGAACUCAAGUGCUUUAGCUCUGGUCCAUUGUUCUUUUUAUGGCAUCAGGUAACCCCUGAAGAAGCCACACCCUCAGAGCUAGUGGUCAGAGAAGACACAGGAGAAAUCCCUGAGGCUUUUGGUCAGAAUUUUACAGACAAGGCAAAGCAGUUUGUAGAAGAGGUGAAAGGGACGACAAAGCAGCCAAGAACAGGACUCGUGUGGACAGGAAAGUUGUAGCAAUGUACAAUAAAGGAGGGACCACUUUGGAAGGAAGAAGGAAUUGCAUCAGCUGGAAGGACCUUGAAGAAGGAAAGGGAUAAUAGAAGUCAGAUGGGGAAGCCAGGGAAGGGAUGGGAGCCCAGAUGCUCAGGAAUGCUUGAACUCCUGGGGUCUAGCCUAUUGUCUGAGAUAAGGCUGAAAGGCAGGCUAGGAAGAGCUGUAUGUCAGGUUAAAGUUAUCUCAGUGCGUCUCCAUGAUGUGGUUGAACAGGUGAGUACUGUCAUCAAGCCCAGGUUUUAGAAAGAUGGAUCUGAAAGCAGCAGAAAAGGUGGAUUCAUGCAGGGCAAGAAUCGAGUCAGAGACAGAAAGGAGAUUCUUGCCAUAGUAAAUAAAGGGAAGCUUUAAUGAGCCUGGACUAGGGCAGCAAUUAUGGCCUUUGGGACACUUGAAUGGGCAGUGGAGCUGGGCUUGGCCAGGGAAAAUUACCAGUUUGGUUUUGGACCUAUUGCAUUUGAGAUGCUGGCAGGCUGUCCCCAUGAAAAGGUCCAGCUGGCAGCUGGAGAGCUGGGCCUGGUGGUAGAAGCCCGGGGUUGCAAGCAGAACCCUGGGAGCUGCUAUGGUUAGGGCCAGGGGAGGGGAGAGGAAAGAGGGAGGGAAACAGGAAAGGAGGCGGUCCCCAUUCGAGGGACCACGGCAGCGCAGCAUGAUGGGAGCCAGGAAACCAAAGAUGGUCAAGGAGGAAGUGGCAGCAAACAGUGUCACCUGCUGCAGCAAGGUCAGGGCUAAGGAUCCCUGGGACUGGGGCUACUAUUGGUGUUAGCAGUACAGGCAAAGUACAGAAUGACUCAAAACUCAGGUGUCAAAGGAAGGAAGCACUUUGUGUUUAUACCAACGGAGUAGCAUAAGGGGGGACUUUAAAAAUACUCAUUCAUUCAUUCAUAUUAAUGUCAGAAAGUCAGAGGUCUGUUUGUCAGGGAGGUAUAAGGAGAGAGUGCAAAGAUUGAAUAUGUGAGCAGGCUGUGUCCUGGAAGUGGCUCAGAGAGGGUUGGAGUGGAGGAACGAAGAACAGCCUAGAGCAUGGCUGUGGAACGGCGGGGCCCAUUUUUCAUCAGAGGCAGGAUGGAGGCUGCCGGUGAAGGGACAGAAGAAAGUUAAAAGCGAAAAAGUGGAGUUCCUGCUGUGGCACAAUGGGAUCGGCUGGGUCGCUGCAGCACCAGGACGCAGGCGCAAUCCUGGCCUGGCACAGGAUCCACCACUGCGGCAGGUGCCUAAGUCAAAACCGCAGCUCAGAUCUGAUCCCUGGCCCAGGAACUCCAUAUGCCUCGGGGCGGCCAAAAAAGAGAAAACAAAAACAAAAGAUGGAAAGGUAUUGUUUGGUGGACACAUUUUCAGUUUGAAGUGAUGAGAAAACUCUGGAAAUGGAUGGUGGUGAUGGUUGCAAAGCCCUGGGAAUGUACUUCACGCCGCUGAAUCCUACGCUUAUAAGCGGUAAACGUGGUGCCUGCGUUUUAUCAGAGAGAGAGAAAGGUGAGCUCCCUCUGUCAGUCAAGUAGAUGGGGCCAGUGAGCACCGAGUGUCCCUGAGGGCGGGGACAGAGCAAGAAGAGCAUUGAGGACCCCUAGGGGGCAGAACCACCAGAAGCGUAUUAAGAUCUGGGCGCCAGAAUGGCCCAGGUUCAGGGGGUGCUGUGGGAGAGUCCCCUUUUCUUGGUAAAUCUUUCUUAGUCCUUUCUCAUCCAUCCUUUGCCUGAGAUUCAAUAGCCUCCCAUUUCUCUGAGGAUAACACUAACUCUCCCAGCCCCUACCAGGCUUGGUGGAGCUGAGCCCUGCUCGUUUCUCUAACUCUGCCCCACAACACUUUCCACUCACACUCCUCCCUUCAGCCUCACAGGCCUUCUCAGGCCCUCAGACGUGCCGGGCAACGCUCCCUCCCCAGGGCUUUUGUGUACGCGGUUCCCUCUUGUCAGGCCACCAUGUUGAAGCCUGAAGCCUUCGUCUCCCUUUUCCCUGCUUUCCCGUGGUCACUUCCUCCCAGCACUUGGUGGAACGGUGGGUUCAUGUGUUGACUUAUUCAUUUGCUGUCCCCCCACCAGUCUGUAAAUACUUGCUCAGUAAAUAUCUGUUGAAUGAAUGAAUCUAUCGCUUGACUUUUUGCAGCAGUGCCCAGCAGUCUGGGCGCAAGAGAAAAGAAAACGGGGUGGCCAUUACAUAGACCCGGGGAUGACUUUGGUGAAUGUGUGUAUAAGACAUUGGGGAAUGGGGGGCAUUUACCAAAUUUGAGAAAAACGAAUGUGUGAACCCACUGGCACCUUGAAUAGGCCGAUUGAGAUGAAAGUACCCAAGCAAGCAAGAGCAGCAGAUACACAGGUUUACUACGUAUUCGCAUUCUGCACAGCAAACUGCAGAGGGUGGCCAGGCCCACAAGCCCAUUUGAGUCCCACCCAUACUUCCUGAGUGCCUGAUGUGGUCUGAAACAUCAGCAGUAGUAAAAAGCUACUUGGGCACUUGCUGCAAAUCAGUGCUUGCACUUUAUGCAUUAACUCAUUUAACUCUCACAACAACCCUCUGCGAUAAGUACUUUUCUGAAGAUCAGACAGCAAGAUGGCAGCGUCAGUCCCAUUCAACCUCAGCUUCUCUCUCUCUGCAGAUGCUGGGCUUUAACCACCCCUCGAUUGUUACCAAGUAUGUGGGGUUCCAUAUUCACUGUCACCGCUGUCAAAGCAGUGGGAGAGAGGGUUGACCAUGGCAGGAAAACCCCCAGAGGGUUUACAGAACGCAAGACAGACAGAGGGUCUCCACACAUGUAAUUACCAGGUCACCUGAAUGGGGGCCUAAAAUCUUUCCUUUGUAGAGGCUAAUCUAAAAAUACCUUGUCCAGAGGACACCCAUUUGUGAGGCCUUGAUUGGAAAGCCCCCAUGGAAAGGCCACAUCUUGAGUCCCCUUUACGGUCAUUCUUCCUCCUCCUCUUAAGCAUCAAACGCUGUCUUUGGCACUUUGCAGCCUGGACAGAAGGUUUGCCUUCAAGGGCAUACAGGGAAAGCCAUCAUUUUCUGCCCCCGCUCAGUGCAAUAGCCAAUUUUCAUUUUCCGUUCUUAAAAAUUAGCACCCGUAGGAUAGGAGCAGCUUUCGGGGGUGGAGUUCCGUUGAAAUUUCAGCUUGAGAGCUUGGAAGGAAAAAUAAGAUCAAAGCAGAGUAACAUGAGGAAAUGUAAAUAUUAGGGAAACGGCCAGGAGAGGAUGGCGAGACCCUAGUCUGUCUGACAGCAGAUUUCCAAGGAGAACUGUUAUUUUCAUGACCAGUUCACAUGUAAAUCGUCAACAGAACGGGUUACUUUGGCAAAGGGGAGUUCAGAAAACCUGCUUGAUCGCAUUCGCUCAACCUGCUUUGCUUUUCCGUCGACGUCAAUAUUUUCCAGCCUAAGCAAGUGCUCCCAAGCCCCAUGGGAGGGGUGAAGCCCAGGCCGGAAGCCCUCCCAGCAUCAGCCCCCUUUGGGUAAUGGAGAGACAGUUCCCCUUGGGAUCUGCUGGAAUGGUUUCGCGCCCUGGCCAUGACGGUAGCGAGGCUGAAAGAGAUAGAUUGGUGCUGGAAGAGAGCCCUGCCUCCUUUCCUGAGUCUGCUGAGCCCAGAGUAGAUGGUCUGAUCGGCAGUGGAUAUUAACAUGUAAGGCUGAAUGCAGAAUCACUGUUGCCUGGGGAAGGGAGUGGUGCUGUUAUGGCUCCAGAAAUCAUUUCUCCUUAUUUUCAUUGACCACCGUCCUGCUCAUGGAACGAGGCAGAGUAAGGUACCAUGGAGGAUACAGUGAGGUGGUUUUGCAAGAACCGUAGGUUGAACACUGUUCAGAAGAUCACGCUUAGCUUCAGCAGACCACAGCUGCGUGGGAAAUACAUUAGCCUGUUAAUAAUCCGACAAGACUUACCCAGGGGGAUGACUGAACAAGAAUGUAUUUUGAUUUUAUUCCCAAACAAUGAAGAUUUCCAUUCAUUGCUAUGCAUCUCUCGCCUGUCACUCUGUAAUCAUGGAACCUGAGGAAGAAUGUCCAAAGUUUAAAGGGGUACUUGGGAGUUCCUGUUGUGGCUCACCAGUAACAAACCCGUCUAGUAUCCAUGAGGAUGUGGGUUCGAUCCCUGGCCUCGCUUAUUGGGUUAAGGAUCCGGCAUUGCUGUGAGCUGUGGUGUGGGUUGCAGAUGUGGCUUGGAUUUGGCGUUGCUGUGGCUGUGGUGUAGGCUGGCAGCUGUAGCUCUGAUUCACCCCAGCCUGGGAACUUCCAUAUGCCACUGGUGUGACCCUAAAAA